rnacentral:rRNA from 1 species
AUUAGUGAUUGGGGUGAAGUCGUAACAAGGUAGCCGUAGGAGAACCUGCGGCUGGAUCACCUCCUUUCUAAGGAG